rnacentral:tRNA from 1 species
GGGGUUGUGGCUCAGCGGUAGAGCACUCACCUAGCAUGUGUGAGGCCCUGGGUUCGAUCCUCAGCACCACUU